rnacentral:rRNA from 1 species
UACGGAGGGUGCGAGCGUUGUCCGGAAUCACUGGGCGUAAAGGGCGCGUAGGUGGCCCGUUAAGUGGUUGGUGAAAUCCCGGGGCUCAACUCCGGGGCUGCCGAUCGGACUGGCGGGCUAGAGCACGGUAGGGGCAGAUGGAAUUCCCGGUGUAGCGGUGGAAUGCGUAGAGAUCGGGAAGAAUACCAGUGGCGAAGGCGUUCUGCUGGGCCGUUGCUGACACUGAGGCGCGACAGCGUGGGGAGCAAACAGG